rnacentral:lncRNA from 1 species
GAGGAAUCCCUUUAAAAUGUACACUUCAGGCAGCAGCAGCUAACAGAAGGCCUGACCAUCAGAAGGGAAAAUGCACAUGCAGAUGAAUGUGUGGCAGCACUGGGAUCCUCCAGAUAUCCAGUUGAUUAUGAGAACUAUGACUAUCUGCAUAGUCAGAGUCAUUCUUUGGAAUCAGACAGAUGUGUAUGGGCUGGAGUAUGUACAUAUUAGGGCCAUAACAAUGAUUCAAGUCAGAGAAUUAUCAACCAUUGAUCACCAGUUUUCUCUGAAAUAGUCUGAAAACUGGUGACGAGAAGCCACUCACCAUUUGCUACUAACAGCUCAAAGGUGAAGAAUAUUCCAUUAAAUAAAGCACUAAAGAAGAUAAGCCUCUCCUCAGGCGACAAAGGGCCAACCCCAAAUGAAGUCCAUGCUGCGGGUCUUAAGGUCAUCUGCUCAUAAGAAACUGGUCACUUCUGGUGUGAGUUAAGAUGAAUGGAGAGAGAAUUGGUUCCCAGAGACCACAGUGAAAAAGGUUAAGAACAUAAUAAAGACCGUAAGUUCCCCA